UAGGGAAUCUUCGGCAAUGGACGAAAGUCUGACCGAGCAACGCCGCGUGAGUGAAGAAGGUUUUCGGAUCGUAAAACUCUGUUGUUAGAGAAGAACAAGGACGUUAGUAACUGAACGUCCCCUGACGGUAUCUAACCAGAAAGCCACGGCUAACUACGUGCCAGCAGCCGCGGUAAUACGUAGGUGGCAAGCGUUGUCCGGAUUUAUUGGGCGUAAAGCGAGCGCAGGCGGUGUCUUAAGUCUGAUGUGAAAGCCCCCGGCUCAACCGGGGAGGGUCAUUGGAAACUGGGACACUUGAGUGCAGAAGAGGAGAGUGGAAUUCCGUGUGUAGCGGUGAAAUGCGUAGAUAUAUGGAGGAACAACAGUGGCGAAGGCGGCUCUCUGGACUGUAACUGACGCUGAGGCUCGAAAGCGUGGGGAGCAAACAGG
rnacentral:rRNA from 1 species